UGGCGAACGGGUGAGUAACACGUGGGUGAUCUGCCCUGCACUCUGUGAUAAGCCUGGGAAACUGGGUCUAAUACCGGAUAGGACCAUGCUUUAGUGUGUGUGGUGGAAAGUUUUUUCGGUGUAGGAUGAGCCCGCGGCCUAUCAGCUUGUUGGUGGGGUAAUGGCCUACCAAGGCGGCGACGGGUAGCCGGACUGAGAGGUUGGUCGGCCACAUUGGGACUGAGAUACGGCCCAG
rnacentral:rRNA from 1 species